rnacentral:rRNA from 1 species
CCUACGGGCGGCAGCAGUGAGGAAUAUUGGUCAAUGGUCGGGGGACUGAACCAGCCAAGCCGCGUGAGGGAUGAAGGUACAGAGUAUCGUAAACCUCUUUUGUCAGGGAACAAAGGCGGGGACGUGUCCCCUGAUGAGUGUACCUGAAGAAAAAGCAUCGGCUAACUCCGUGCCAGCAGCCGCGGUAAUACGGAGGAUGCGAGCGUUAUCCGGAUUUAUUGGGUUUAAAGGGUGCGCAGGCGGUCUGUUAAGUCAGCGGUCAAAGCCCGGGGCUCAACCCCGUCGCGCCGUUGAAACUGGCAGUCUCGAGUUGGAGAGAAGUAUGCGGAAUGCGCGGUGUAGCGGUGAAAUGCAUAGAUAUCGCGCAGAACUCCGAUUGCGAAGGCAGCAUGCCGGCUCCAAACUGACGCUGAGGCACGAAAGCGUGGGUAUCGAACAGGAUUAGAUACCCGAGUAGUC